UACAGAGGUCCCAAGCGUUGUUCGGAUUCAUUGGGCGUAAAGGGUGCGUAGGCGGCUUUUUAAGUCUGGGGUGAAAGGUUCUGCGCUUAACGUGAACAGUGCCCUGGAGACUGGAAGGCUUGAGUGUGGGAGGGGGCAGUGGAAUUCCUGGUGUAGCGGUGAAAUGCGUAGAUAUCAGGAGGAACACCGAUGGCGAAGGCAGCUGCCUGGCCUGAACACUGACGCUGAGGUGCGAAGACGUGGGGAGCGAACGGG
rnacentral:rRNA from 1 species